GACGAACGCUGGCGGCGUGCUUAACACAUGCAAGUCGAACGAAGUGGCGAACGGGUGAGUAACGCGUAAUCAACCUGCCCUUCCGAGGGGGACAACAGUUGGAAACGACUGCUAAUCCCGCAUACUGAAGGAGGGGAUUGCGUCUGAUUAGCUAGUUGGAGGGGUAAUGGCCCACCAAGGCGAAGAUCAGUAGCCGGUCUGAGAGGAGGAACGGCAACAUUGGGACUGGGACACGGCCAAGGAUCCUCAGGGAGGCAGCAGGGGGGAAACUUCCGAAAUGGAGGAAAGGCGGGCGGAGCAAAGCCGCGGGAGAGAUGACGGCCUUCGGGUUGUAAAGCUCUGUUAAGCGGGACGCGGUACCGGAAUAGAAAGCCACGGCUAACUACGUGCCAGCCGCCGCGGUAAUAC
rnacentral:rRNA from 1 species